rnacentral:lncRNA from 1 species
AUAUAUGAAUUAUUUGAAUUAAUUACAGAAAAACAUAGAUUUAAAGCUAUAGCAAAAAUUUUGUACUAAAGUAUACCAUAUUAUAUAUUCACUGUGUAGAUAUACUCACUAGGAGUCCAACAAAAUUGAAUUUUUUAUUUUAUGAUUCUUUUUGUAAUUUUUUAUGUUUUUUUUUCAAAAAUUCAGUUGGAAUAAAAAAAAGACAAAGACAAAACCACCUUCUAAACUAGACUUAUUUGACCGGUUUUGAAAGUUCAGAGGGUAGAAUAUCCGGUUUUAUAGUUUGGGGAUGAAGUAUUCUACCCUAAAUAGUUUAGAGGUUAUGUAGACUUUUUCCUUAAAUAUACUACGCAUGAAGUUGAUCUAAAUCAGUCAUUUUCUUUCUAAAAAUAGUCUGUCUCGCUACCUCUCCCAAUUUACCUCAAUAGUCCAUAUGCUUCUUUUUUGAAAUACAUUAUAGACCCAAACCCUCAAAUCCAUACACAUACAAUCAUCCAUAUAAAGGUCUCUAUGAGUGCCUCCAAGAAAGCGGACCAGCAAUUCUCAGUUGAUAUUUACAAAGUUACCAUAUGCACCUUACAAAGUUACCAUUUUCUUUCUCACAAUCUUAUUGCUGCACCUAAAAUAAAUUUAGAAGAAUACGAGUACUUAUAUAAGUCUAACCUAGCUAGAUUGCAUUAGAAAAAAAAACUAACCCACAGAUCUACUCUUAGUUUGUGAUCCCUGUGCUUCAUCACCGCAUGC